rnacentral:rRNA from 1 species
GACGAACGCUGGCGGCGUGCUUAACACAUGCAAGUCGAACGCUGAAGCUCAGCUUUUGUUGGGUGGAUGAGUGGCGAACGGGUGAGUAACACGUGAGUAACCUGCCCCCUUCUUUGGGAUAACGCCCGGAAACGGGUGCUAAUACUGGAUAUUCACUGGUCUUCGCAUGGGGGUUGGUGGAAAGGGUUUUUCUGGUGGGGGAUGGGCUCGCGGCCUAUCAGCUUGUUGGUGGGGUGAUGGCCUACCAAGGCUUUGACGGGUAGCCGGCCUGAGAGGGUGACCGGGCACAUUGGGACUGAGAUACGGCCCAGACUACGACGGGAGGCAGCAGUGGGGAAUAAUGCACAAUGGGCGCAAGCCUGAUGCAGCGACGCCGCGUGAGGGAUGGAGGCCUUCGGGUUGUGAACCUCUUUCGCUCAUGGUCAAGCCGCAACAAUGGUUGUGGUGAGGGUAGUGGGUAAAGAAGCGCCGGCUAACUACGUG